GCGUGCCGGUACUUUAACGAGCUCCACCGCGACGCCGGCCACCGCCCCUGCACCUGGGCGUCUGCUGACCGCACAGCAGGGCCCGCCAGAGAUUCAGUUCUGGGUGGUGAGGGGCCUUGCGAGGACCAGGGCCACCGAUCGCCGCCUGCCCCCGCGGAAAUAGGUCCAAGGCCGCGUUUCCAAGGCGCCCCCAGUGCUGUGGGAGGUGCUGGUCCAGACCACGCUUCGAAGGAGCCAGGCGAGAGGAAGCCUCUCGGUGCGGGGAGCUGCGCGGGUUUCUAAAUGCUCGGCCUGUUUGCGUCCAGUUCAGGACCAGACGGAAGCCGUGCGCUCCCUGCAAAUGGCUGGAGCGCACUGGCACGAUCUCCACUCACUGCAACCUCCGCCUCCCGGGUUCUCCUGCCUCAGCCUCCUGAGUAGCUGGGAUUACAGGCGCCCGCCACCACGCCCGGCUAAUUUUUGUAGUUUUAGUAGAGACGAGGGUUCACCAUGUUGGCCAGGCUGGUCUCGAACUCCCGACCUCAGGCAAUCCGCCCGCCUCAGCCUCCCAAAGUGCUGGGAUUACAGGCGUGAGCCACCGCGCCCGGCCCCUGCAAAUGGUUUCUGAGGCAGCGGCAGUGCAGCAGGCACCGGCGCUGAACGGCUUCUGCUGAAUGAAUGACACGGGUGUCACAGUGACAGAGGACAGGCGUUUCACAAGAAUACCGAAGACGUAGUGAGCCUUCUGAGUGUGGGGACGCUCUUCUCUACACUUUACAUCAUGAAUUCUUUUAAUCCACAAAAUGGCUCUGUUGUUGCUGGUAUUAUUGUCCCCAUUUUACAGAUUGGGCAACUCAGCCACAGAGAAAUGAGAGGAACUUGGUGCAAGGUUAUACAGGACCCAUAAGUCACAGCAGAACCCGUGCAGGCUGGCUCCCCGGCCUCUUCUGGGAACUGUAUAUGGCCCCAAUUUGUGGGAACCUCAUAGUCAGGACUGCCCAGAGGAUGGUCAGCAACGAACAUGCGUUUUCAUGAUUUAAAAAUAGUUGUGUUCUUAAAUAUGCUGUGAAGGAAGUAGCCCUAGAUUUUAUUCAUCACUGAAAAAUUCAGCAAGAAUUCCUCUGCUGCGACUCUUUUCAACAAAUAUUUAUGAGGCUUCUUUCCUGGGCCAGCCCUGAAACUAGACACUGGCGAUGCAAAAUAGGUCAAAGUUUGUGCCUUCAGGAAGUUUACUGUCUACAAGAAAAGAUAGACAAGGGAAUCAACAGCCACGAGACCACAGGAAAAGUGCUCGCUGAGCCAGCUGCCCUUGCUGUCUCUGUGAUUCAGGAGCAGAAGGGAGCUCUGGGGUCAGGGAAGACUUCUGAGGUGAGGUCAGCAUUGACUGGAAUUGGAAGAAUGUUAGCAUUCGCUCCACAAGGCAGUAGGAAUUGCUUGAAGGAAGGCUUGGAGGUGUGAAGCAGCGUGACUCGUGUUUUCCAGGAACCAGGUCCUUGCCGCUGAAGAGAGGCAUUUAGACGGGAGCCCAGGGGCUC
rnacentral:lncRNA from 10 species